UAUGCAAACGUGGUGAAAGGCAAUACUGCACAAAUGCAAUUGCCCCAAAACCAACCAAAUGGAAGCGUUGAAACAAUGAUUUUCAACCUUAUCCAAUGUAUGACACAAUUUAUGGCUUUAAUGCAAAAUAUGAUUCAAGAGAUAAUCAAAUCACAAAACCAAAUGUUGCAAACUUUUUUAAGUAAAAAAUGAGUGUAUUGAACAUUUCUUUAUGGAAUGCUAGCGGUGUUAACCAACAUAAACUGGAACUUAUUAGAUUUCUGGAUGAAAAUAAUAUUGAUGUUAUGCUAUUGUCAAAAACUCAUCUUACGAACAAAAACAAUUUCUUCAUAUCGGGAUUUAGGCUCUAUGUUACAACCCACCCAGAUGGAAAGCCACAUGGAGGAACAGCAGUGUUAGUUAGAAAACGGUUAAAUCACCACACAUUAGAAUCUUAUGCCACAGGGCAAUUACAAGCUACAACAAUAACUAUAAAAAAUUGCUGCGGGGACUUAAACCUGACAGCCAUAUACUGCCAACCUCGAUUUAAAAUUACAGACAUCUAAUUUAAAGACUUUUUUGGAACACUAGGCCAUAGAUAUCUAGCAGGUGGAGAUUACAAUGCAAAACACACAUAUUGAGGCUCACGACUAAUUAGUCCGAAAGGACGACAGCUGUAUCAAACUGUUAUAAAUAGGCACAACAACCUUGAAAUAAUAUCUCCUGGUAAGCCGACAUAUUGGCUUAGCAAUUGUAAGAAAAUACCAGAUUUAAUUAACUUUGCUGUAAUCAAAAAUAUAGAUAAAUCGCACAUAGCAGCUGAUACAUGUACUGAUUUAUCUUCUGAUCACUCUCCUGUACUAAUAAAGUUAUGUGAACAACCCAUAUUCGUUAAUCCAAGAGUGAGUCUAACUUCUAAUAAAACGAAUUGGCUAAAAUAUAAAAAAUACGUCAGUAGCCACAUUUUAUUGAGAAAAAAUAUAUACAGGAAGAGAUAUUGACGAAAUCAUAAGAGAAGUCAAUUAUAUAAUAACCAGCGCAGCUGUCUUAGAAACACCAAACAAAAACUAUAAGCCGCUUGGGCCUAGAAAACUCACAAAUAUGGAAAUAAAAAGGCUUGUAAAUGAAAAAAGGCGUGCAAGACGUGAAUGGCAGAUAAAUAGCUCACCUUCCACUCAGCUUCAAUUGAAAUCUGCUGCAAGUACAUUAAAAUGAGCGCUUAAACGUGAGGAAGAAUUGAACAGCGAAAUGUAUAUAAAGAAGCUGUGUCCAAAUUCCAACAAGUAAAACUCCCUUUGGAAAGCCCAAAAGUCCAUGAAGCCACCAACUGACUCCAACAUGCCUAUACGAGACUUGGGUGGAAAUUGGGCUCGAAGUGACGAGGAAAAGGCAAAUUGUUUUGCAAAUCACCUAGAAAAGGUAUUUCAACCCAAUUUGUCAAAGAACACCUUUAAGCUGUCAAUCUUACCUAACACAGCUAAAGAGUUUCUCGAGUCUUUUAAGACUUCACCUUCUGAAGUUAUUGGAAUCAUCAAAGAAUUUAAUCCAAAAAAUGCUAAUUGAGUUACCAAUUAUUGCUGUAGAGGUGCUCUCUUUGCUCUUCAGUGCCAUUCUUAGUUUCGGAUACUAUCCAAUUUCAUGGAAAUAGUAGCAGAUUAUCUUGAUAGAUAAACCGGAGAAAGACUUAAGACAGGCGUCUUCAUACAGACCAAUCAGUCUUCUACCUUGUCUUUCUAAAGUAUUUGAAAACGUAUUACUAUCAAAGAUGUCUCCUUUCCUCCACGAAAAUAAUACAAUACCAAUGCAUCAAUUUGGAUUUCGUGCGAAACAUGGCACAAUAGAGCAAGUAAAUAGAAUUUCUAACGAAAUAAGGAAAGCAUUUGAGCACAGGGAGUACUGUUCAGCAAUAUUUUUAGAUGUAGCUCAGGCGUUUGAUAAGGUGUUGCACUAAGGUCUUUUAUAUAAGAUUAAAAAAAUCUUACCUUUAGAAUUGCAUAAAACAUUGGAGUUUUAUUUAAGCAAUAGACAAUUUAUGGUGAAAGUAGGAGAUUUCAUAUCGGAUGAAAGAUAGAUAAGGGCUGGUGUACCCCAGGGCAGUGUUCUAGGUCCAACACUAUACAUCAUAUAUACAGCAGAUCUUCCAACAGCUAACAAUGUAUUAACUUCAACUUUUGCGGACGGCACAGCUUUAGUGAGCCGUAACAAAUGCCACAUUUUAGCAUCAAGAAUAUUAGCGGAGCAUUCAAGUUCUGUCGAAGAAUGGCUAGCUAACUGGCGAAUAAAUGUGAAUGAACAGAAGUGUAAACAUGUUACAUUUUCGCUUAGACUAAAAAUGUGCCCGGCAGUAAAAAUAAACAAUAUUUUAGUACCCCAAGUGAACGAAGUAACAUAUCUUGGUAUUCACUAAGAUAGAAGGCUUACGUGGAGAAAACACAUCUCUAGUAAAAUAACAUGUAUGAAGAUUAGAGCUGCAAAUUUAAAUUGGCUUUUAAAUGAAAACUCUUAACUUAGCCUAGACAAUAAAGUGCUUUUAUAUAAUGCGAUCAUAAAGCCGAUUUGGAUGUAUGGCGUUCAACUGUGGGGUACGACCAGUGCAACUAAUAUUGAUAUAUUACAAAGGUUCCAAUCGAAAAUGCUUAGAACAAUUACGUGUUCACCGUGGUACAUGCGUAACGAAAAUAGCCAUAAAGACCUAAACUCCGAGAUCACCCAAACCUUUUGGCUAAUGCUUUGGUGCAUUCCUGCGAUUAAACACGCCUUUAACCUUCCUAUACCCGCGCCAAAUGUUUUAACACCUAUACCCGCGCACGGUGUGACAGACCGAGACUUUGACUCCUCUUACCUUUUUAUUUUUCUAUAAAACCGUUUAUAUUUUUUUUAUUUUAUAGGAACUAAAUGAUGUAAAAAAACAAAAAAUAUCAGUUGUUAGCGUAAAUUAUGUAUUACUUUAAUGACUAUCAGUCUUUCCAAAACUUUCCAAAAAAAAAUAUGUACGAAAAACUGUUUCGUCGGUCUCACAGACAUGUGCGCGGGUAUAGGAAGGUUAAAGAAGAGACAUGCCUGCGUAUUAAAGAGCAAGGUAUCACCAAAACAGCUCAAUCACUUGCUUGAGCCUGUCAAGUUUUUAAAUAGAUUUAAGAUUUUAUUGUUAGGCUUAAAAAAAGGCAGAUUCUUCUUCUGUUCUAUUUCAAAUACAUACUUAUGUAUGUGUACGCAUAUAUUAUAUGUAUAAUGGGAAUUCCAUCGAGUACAUAUAUACAAAAAACGUAUGUAUAUGUGUAUGUAAGUUAAUACCACCAGUUCAUAUUACAUGAACAUAUCUUUUAUUUGUCAUAAAUAUGUAUGUAACAUGACGCUAACGACCCAUAUGGUCCAUAUGAAAACAUUGUACUUUGCUAACAUGGUCCGCCUUAAGUGGUCCCAAAAUGUAAUUCAUAGAUAAUAAGAUGAAUCUUUCCACUUGUAACAUAUCGUCUGUCUCAAGUGAAUUGUAGAUAUAUUUCCUAGAAUGUAAGAUUAAUAUUUGUAUCUAGGCUUAAGCAAAAUAUUGUAUUUAAGAAAACGUAAUAAAGAAAACGAGGCAGUUGCCCACAGUUGCCCACGAGACUCAAAACAAAAAAUUAAUUUGUACGUACUCGGUGGAAUUUCCAUUGUUUACUCAUCGAAAAUUUGUAACAUACGCAGAUGUUCAACGCUGAUAAAUUUUUUGCCACAUGAUUCAAAUCAAUCCAGCAGAAAAACUCGUAGUUUCACAUCGAUUCAAACGACCGUUGCAACGCUAUGAACUGACAUGAUACGAUUUGAACCGAAGCCAGCCAUACCGUUUACUCGAUCGUGAUUGCCGAGGAACAGAUUGUCCGUGCUGCAUCAAAUCAGUUGACGCUGGCGGGUACUCGAUUUGAUCAACAAUGUUGUCUAUGAUGAACUGAAUUGAUUUGAUUGUGUUUUUAGCGUGAUUGUUUGUUCUGAUUUAAUCGUACUCGUUGCAGCUCUCUGCAUGACACCUUCCGAAACACGUGCAUGUAUGCACUUUAUCGCUUUCACCGCCGAUGAGUGCCAAUUGAGCUCCGCCAUGAAAUAAAUUCGUCCACAAUUAGAAAAGAAAUUAAAAAAAAAUUGUCCUCACAAAAGGCACCAAAGUGUUUAAUAAUUAAUUUACCGGUGGAUAGAGUUCUCAAUGCUUUAUUGGGUUUAUACGAUUGUGAAUGGUUUGUUUGAAACCAAACCAGAAAUGAAUACAAUCUACUGAUAAUCAGUGAAGAGGGACUUACUACAUGUCCUCCGAUAUUUAUAGGAGUACAAGAAAAUGUAAAAUACCAUAACUUUAAAAUAUGAAUAGACAAAGAUAACUAAAUUAAAAAUAGAAAGCUGAAGUAAAACAGUAUUACCAGGUUAAACUUAACAUUAUUAGAAAAUUAACUAAAAACUGCAGUAAAUGAUCUCAAGCAGCAAUAAUGCACUGCACAGUAGAGUGUGGUGUAUUUCUCAAUAUUGCCUAUCUCACGAGUAAUUUUAUUUUCUUGCCAUUAUUGGCUACUAGACCUUGCAAAUCUUGAGAUAUUAUUGAUAUAUUUGUUCACCAUAUUUUCUUUAGAAAUAAUAACAGACUUAAGUAAUGGAAAUAUUUUAAGAGAACUGUUAAUUCAAAAUUAAAACAUCUCUCCGUACAAGUUGGUUUUUGGCUCACUACACAUAUGUACAUAAGUACUUUAGCAGUUUAGGGCUAGACCCUAACCAGAUAUAUAUAAAUGAAACAAAUUUAGUUAAUAUAUAAAAUAAAACAACAAUAAAUUUUAAAGUGUUGAAUUAGUUCUUUUACUAAAAAAAUUAAAAACUUAUCGAAGACUUGCUUAUUAAAUAAAAUAUCAACAUUGGACUUUACCGAAUAAGAACCAACAUAAUAAAACAAGAUCUAAAGUCGGAAAUCUACACAUCGGGCUUAAAGUAAGGGCCCUAUUAUGAGUUGCAUUCGACCUUCGACAACGAUCGAAAAUGCUGGUCGAACGAAUUUGCAUUUGGUAUUACGACGCUCAUUCGUUGAAGAUUAGCGUUAUUGUGAAUUGCAAUCAUUUUGAAUGUUCACGAUAGCAUACAUCUGUCAGAUAAAACUAACAAAUAUUUUAUAAAUAAAGAAAAUAUAAAUAUAAGUUAAAAUAAAAUAUGACUAGGUCUGAGUUGUGGUUUGCCGAUUCUUCAGAGGAGGAUGAAAGCUUACUGGAAUUGGCUAGAAAUAGAAAGAAGCUAAGGGACACUUCCAAUCCUUUGGAAUUGGAUUCCGCUACAUUUAUAAAAAACUUCCGUUUGUCGAAAGAGGCGUUUGUUGAUUUGCUGUCCGCUACAGAGGAGAUGCUGCAGCGAUGCACACGAGCGAAAUCUAUUCCCAAUAUACUAAAAUUGGCAACAGCUUUACGAUUUUGUGCUCAGGGAUCGUAUCAACUUAGUAUAGGGAAUGAAAACAUGCUUGGACUUGCACAGCCCACGGUGUCUGUGGUACUAUCUGAGGUACUCGAUGCCCUGGAGAAUUUCAUUUGCCAAAGAUGGAUAAAAUUCAAUUAUACCGAGGCUGAAAUGCAAGAAGCAAAAUCACAUUUUUAUAGUAAUACCAGAUUUUCUGGGGACUUUCGGCCUGCAUAAAAUUAACAAAAAUAGUAUAAAUUAAUUAUUUGUUACCAUAAAGCAAUAAAUAAACGCAAAAAACCUA